UACGUAGGGUGCGAGCGUUAAUCGGAAUUACUGGGCGUAAAGCGUGCGCAGGCGGUUAUGUAAGACAGGUGUGAAAUCCCCGGGCUUAACCUGGGAACUGCAUUUGUGACUGCCUCGCUGGAGUGCGGCAGAGGGGGAUGGAAUUCCGCGUGUAGCAGUGAAAUGCGUAGAUAUGCGGAGGAACACCGAUGGCGAAGGCAAUCCCCUGGGCCUGAACUGACGCUCAUGCACGAAAGCGUGGGGAGCAAACAGG
rnacentral:rRNA from 1 species